UACGGGGGGAGCAAGCGUUGUUCGGAUUUACUGGGCGUAAAGGGCGCGUAGGCGGCGUGACAAGUCACUUGUGAAAUCUCCGGGCUUAACUCGGAACGGUCAAGUGAUACUGUCGUGCUAGAGUACAGAAGGGGCAACUGGAAUUCUCGGUGUAGCGGUGAAAUGCGUAGAUAUCGGGAGGAACACCUGUGGCGAAAGCGGCUCACUGGACAGUAACUGACGCUGAUGCACGAAAGCUGGGGGAGCAAACAGG
rnacentral:rRNA from 1 species